rnacentral:rRNA from 1 species
CCUACGGGCGGCAGCAGUAGGGAAUAUUGCUCAAUGGGGGAAACCCUGAAGCAGCAACGCCGCGUGAAGGAUGAAGGUUUUCGGAUUGUAAACUCCUUUUGAUAGAGAAGUUAAUGACUGUAUCUAACGAAUAAGCACCGUCUAACUCCGUGCCAGCAGCCGCGGUAAUACGGAGGGUGCAAGCGUUACUCGGAAUCACUGGGCGUAAAGGGCGCGUAGGCGGGUUAGCAAGUCAGAUGUGAAAUCCUAUGGCUUAACCAUAGAACUGCAUUUGAAACUGUUAGUCUAGAGUAUGGGAGAGGUAGGUGGAAUUCUUGGUGUAGGGGUAAAAUCCGUAGAGAUCAAGAAGAAUACUCAUUGCGAAGGCGGCCUGCUAGAACAUAACUGACGCUGAUGCGCGAAAGCGUGGGUAGCAAACAGGAUUAGAUACCCUAGUAGUC